CUGAAAACGAAUUGCGACGCAGCAAGAAUAACGUAUUUCAAAAAUCGUCUCGUUUACGCAAUUUCGACUUGUCCAGUGCGAGUUUCGUGCGUGGAUCAUCGCUGAGAGUGCCGAAAGAACAACAGUAACUGCAGUCGAAAUUAGUGGUUCCUUGAAAAUCGGCGCAACAUGGGAAAAUCAAAGAAUUAUCAGAGAAGUUCGGGUUGUUGGUAAAUUGGCAGAUCCUUAGGAUGUUGAUUCAUUGACGUUGUUCGUAGCGCGUUCAGGCAGCACGCGCUCGCCGGCGAUGCACGAAGUGAAGAGCGACAGCGAUCGCUCGUAUGCGUCGUCCGUGCGGAAAGACGCGCAGGAGAGACGCGGCGAAUGGGUGCGAAGGAGGGACGGAAAACGAGCGUGCGUUCGUGCGCGAGUGACUGGGACAAGCAGACGGGACGACUUCCUCGGCCGGCUGUUCUCCUGGCACAUCGGCGCAGCGCCGCAGCGCCACGCGUCACGGCGAGCACCAUCGCAACGCGCGGCGCCCCUACGCCGGCCACCGCGACGCGGCUACGCCGUGGCGUUACUUUUGGCUCCUGUCCAUCCAUCGUCGCGAUGCUGCGCGGCGCUGACGCCUCCUUCACCCGAGGACCGUCGUCGUCGGCGGCGUCGCGCGGCUCUCGACUACUUCGACGACGACGACGACGAAGAGGCGGUCUGUGAGGGAGUGGGAAUGGCAGCAACGUGUCGUGGCUUUCGGGCACCCUGGGCUGACAAUUUGGUCUCGCAGUUGGAUGAUUUGAUAAGGUAGAAGGCGCAUUAGCGAUGAUGUUGAGUGGCGAUGUCCUAAAUUGCACGUUAGUCUGAUAGAAAUAUGUUAGAUGUAUGGUCUCGUAGACUUCAACGGGAUUAGAACAGGUUGGCCAGCUUAACGUUUUGUUUGGAAAAAUGUUGCGUCGAGAGACAAAGCCUUUCGACGAAAUCUUAAUUUGAGGUCUAGUUAACGUAAUGAGAUAAUGACCGUAAACAAGAGAUGCUGGACCUUGAGCUGAUCGCAGCUACAAAUUGUAGUUCAUUAGUUCUGUGAGAUAGCACGUACAAUGAAGUGCGUACUGAUUCUUAUACAAAUAUUUCACAACAAAACUUAACGCCACCUGGUAGAUCUGCGAUGCACGAAGAAGCGCUGUUCGUCGCGUCGUAAGGUCUGGUACCGAGGAUCAGUAAAGUCUGACUCUUCAGGCUUGGCAGAUGACAACAUCUACGAUGGUAUAGCGCUUAAUCCUCUUUAUUAGCGACAGGGAUGGUCGUCUAAUUUCCCUAAUUUGCCGUUGAAUCAUAUUGUAACCUCGCUUUUUUUUAUAGAAAAUUCUAUUUUCUAAAAGAAUAAUCGAUUCAAAAAUAAAAAUUCGAACGGAUUGAAGACAAUUCGUAAUAAAAUAACAUCAAAUCAAGAAAAGCUAUUGAGACAGUGGUUGAUAUAGAAUAUGAGAAAUCUUAUCGAGAAGAUAAUCAUUUGACAAAAAAAAAGUUAACGAGUAUUCACUUGAAUUAACUGCUCAAUCGUACGAUGAGCUGAUAUUAUUUAUGACAACAAUCAUCUGGAAUCCAUUUGCGUUACUAAUAUUGCAACCGACGAUGAGAGUUUUAUUAAUUAUCAGUGACUAAAUAUACAGAGGACUCCAAAUGAUCCAAUUGUCUGAGAUUGUAUUAGCUAUCCUUAUAGAAAUAUCAUAAGAAUCAUUGAUAAUUACUUAUUUUCAGUAUUAAAAAUAUGAUAGUAUGAUAUUUCUAUAAGGGUAUAAACCGGGAUUUUCUUUGUAAAAGGAAAAUGACGGACACUUGCUAAAAAUCGCAUAUUUAUUUAUAAAUUCGUAUUAUCGGCUGAUGUCGUGUAAACGCUUAGUCUAAGCUAAAACGCCGCUACUCGCUCGUUUCUCUUUGAUAGCCGCACUUACAGUACAUCGGUAUUGAUAAAAAGUGAAUAAAAACGCACUGUAUCAUCAUCCAACCCUAGACUUGGCGGAACUAAAGGAAGCGAAUCUAAUGUAAAAACUAUAAAAAAAAAAAAA